AUGGAACAAAACUGUGAAAGUGGAAGCAACCAUGACCACAGGAGUAAAAAGACACAUGAGACGUGGUAGCAACCACAUCCAUGAAGAAUUGGAUCCUUAUCAGAACUACUGUUCGGGAUUCAAAAUAGAAUUGUAUAGAAUUUUUUAUCUCCUUUAUAAAUAGAGAGGAAAGAUCAAUUGUAGAGACAUAUUGUAAAUUAUCAAAUACUUUCCUUUUUAGUUCUCUCUUUUGUAAACUUUUCCUUUUGUAAUAAAUAGUCUAUAAAUCCUCCCG
rnacentral:lncRNA from 1 species